UACGUAGGGGGCUAGCGUUGUCCGGAUUUAUUGGGCGUAAAGAGCGUGUAGGCGGCCAGGUAGGUCUGGUGUGAAAACUCGAGGCUUAACCUCGAGAUGUCAUCGGAAACCAUCUGGCUAGAGUCCGGGAGAGGGAUGCAGAAUUCCAGGUGUAGCGGUGAAAUGCGUAGAUAUCUGGAGGAAUACCGGUGGCGAAGGCGGCAUCCUGGACCGACAUUGACGCUGAGGAGCGAAAGCUAGGGGAGCAAACGGG
rnacentral:rRNA from 1 species